CCUAUGCAUGUAUCAUAUAAAAUUUGAUUUUAUCUAUUUAUAAUAUAUAAAUGUCUUACAUUAAUUAAAUAUUCUUUUGGCCCUUAUGAAGUUAGAAAAGUUGUCUCUACAGGUAGACUCAUUAUUAAAUUCCUCUCAACUACUAAAUCAGUGUAUUGUGUUUGUCCCUUCAACACACUUAGUAAAAAGGUCAUAUAAAAACUUACCAAUCAAAAGACAAGGACAUCGACUUACACGUAGAAAUAUGUCUGUGGGUGCCCCUGACUAGUGUCUUAGUUGUGAACAUCGACUUGACAUUGAAGACACAGGAAGGAGGUGACCUUGUUGGCAAUCAGAGGUAAUCAAGCUCAAGCUCAAUGAUCAUCUUUCACGAAUCUUUUUAGGUGUCCAUUUUGGAUCAGGUCAUCCAUCUUAUUCUUCAACUGGUGACACUCAUUUGUGUCAUGAUCGUCCUCUCAGUAGAAAGCGCACCAACUUGAGGAGGCGGGAGUUUUAGUAGUUUGGCGUGCAUCAUCUCCCCAAGAACCUUACUCUCUGUUAUAACCCAUCUAUCUAUCUACUUACGAUAUAUGAUAAAAAAGUGAAUAUAAAAAAAAAACACAAGAUGAAAUGAAGAUCAACAAUAUAAUAGGUAUCAAGUUACUCUUUUUCAUUAUUUUUUUUCCUCCAUAUUAUUUUUAACAAAUUACUUUGCUUUCUUCAAGUCAUUCAAAAGAUGAAAAGGAAAAGAUGAGGAUAAACAUCAUUAACACAAGUGUGUUUUUUCUUCCACCAAAUUAAUUUUAACAAUCAUCCUUAUUUUUUUCA